rnacentral:lncRNA from 1 species
UGUGAUAUUGCUUAUUUACAGAUUCUUUGCCCAUGUAUUUAUAGUAUCUAAUUACAGCCACAAUGCUUUCCUUUGGGGGCAAAGUUGCACACUUCUCUGACCACUACUUUAGAGGAAGCUGACAUUGACUGACAUUUCCAAUGUGUCCUUGUGUACCCAAGCUCAUAACUGUGACAUUUGAGCUCAAAACUGUGUUGCCAGCACAAUUAUCACUGCAUUUACCUUCAGUGGGAUCCCUGGUAGGGAUACUUCAGAGGCCUCUUUGUCAGCAAGGAGAACUUUGCAAACAGGCUGCCCUCUGCCUUGCAAACACACUUCCGAAAGGAGCUUCUCACUGAAUUAUUUUGCAGGGACACAUUAUUCUGACGAUGAAGUAAACACAUUCACUGUAGAAAAGCUGCAACUGCUAAAAGACUGAAUUCAUAAAACAUCAAUAUAAUGGCACCACACCAUGUGCCUCCUGAAAUAUAUGCAGGUUGCACAUGAUAGUAUAUAUUAUAUAUAAGUGUAAAAUGACCAGGUCAGAGAGGCUGGACAUUUCAAAUUAUUUUACUGCCGUAUUUAAAAUUUUUGUUUACAGUAGGUUAUAUUUCAGCAAACCCAUAUAAGCUAAAAAUAUUGUGUAAAAAAGGCCACUGAAUAUACUUAGCUAAUGAACACCAUACCUAAACAUUCUUUUAAUUGAUAGUGGUCAAAACACAAAACCAACUUUCCAAUACAACAUUGAAGACUACCUGUAAGGCAUUGAGCACUAGACAGAAUGUGUAAAAUCGACAAGACAAAACCAAUAGCAAACAUAUAGGUAUGCUUGUUAAAAGGUUGAAAACUCCUUAGCUGAACCAUGGCAAGACAGGGACUAUCUAUCUGAGUAUCCUACUGUUCCAUACCAUUUUGGUUACAAUAGUGCCACAUCCUGUAAUGCCAGCACAUUAAAGAGGCAGAGGCAGGAGGAUCAAGAGAUCUUUGAUAGGGUUUGUUGAGGUGGCUCAAUGAUAAGAACAUGUUCUACUUGUCCAGAGGAUGAAGGUUCGAUUCCCACCACCCACAUGAUGGCUCACAACCAUCUGUACCUCUGGCCCUGGGGAUCUGAUGCCCUCUUCUGGCCUCUUCAGACCCCAGGCGCACGCAUGGUAUGCAGGCAUCCAUGUAGGUAAAACACUCAUAUGCAUAAGAAUGAGUUAAGAGCAGCUUUAGCAACAUAGUAAAACAAAACAAAAGUUAGGAACAUAACAAGCAGUUCCCAUAUCUUGUAGGAUAAGCAUCUUCUCUCACCAUAUGGGACCAAGUAUGUCUCAUGUUCUCACAGGAUCAUAGCAGUUUAUCCAGAACAAAAUGAUUUGUCUAGCUCUUUCUCUCACAUGGGCCAUUUACUGUCUCCCCUCCUCUUCCCAUUUUAUUUUUUUUUAUUUCGCCCCACACCCAUUUUAUUAAGUAUCUUUGUAAAAAGAAAUCUUAAUCUUCCUAUCUGGCUAAAUACUUAGGCAAAAUUUUAAGAAACACUGUUACUGAGUCAAAACCUUAAAUGUCUAUAAACUCGAUGCAUGCGAUGUCGUACAUUUUAAUCCAACUAAGGAACGUAUUUGCUGUAGAGAAAUUUUGUAAUGAAUUAUUUUUUAAAAGAAGUAAUAGUUCAUUUGUAUUUUCAUAAAAAUUUCCUCUUCAUGUUUUAUGUAUAGGAAAGUAAAGUCCCCAAAAGAGACAGAAAUAUACAAACUAUCAAACCCCACUAAGCAGCAGAGAGCAGUGGCAUCUUUACUGUUAACUCAGGAGAGAACCAGACUGGGUUUUCUAUUUAAAUGCCCUGAGAGUAGAGACAGUUGAUUUGUUUUUUGUCUCUUCCCCCGCCCCCUUUUGAUAUUAUAACACAAUUACAACAUCUCUCCCUUCCCUUUCUUCCAUCCAAACCCUCCUACAUACCUCUCUUAACUCUGCUUCAAACUCAUGGCCUCCUUCACUAAUUGCUAUUGCAUGCACAUAUCUAUGUACAUAUAUAUCUCUAAGUAUAACCUGCUCAAUCUAUGUAAUGUUACCUGGGUGUAUGUAUUCAGGGCUGACUGCUUGGCACUGGACAACCAACUGGUGUGCUCUUACCUGAGAUAAAACCACACCUUUCCUGGUUCCCACUCUCCUCUCUUGUCUAUAGUUUUUUAUGGGGCACCACUCCAAGGUUUCUUUUAAAUUCUGUAGUAUAUUUUGACUUUUGGAAAUACUGCUUCUGAAAUAAGGACAAGAAUCAUUUUCAAAAUCUUGUUCACCUUUACUGGUGAAAGGCCGUGAGGCCCAUCCUGCCCAGAGAUAGGUCUCAAACGUGAAUGUGUAUGAUGCUGUGCCUGGUGAUGUGUUUUGUGCAAAGUCCUGUCUCUCCUUUAUAGACAAGUUCAGUUGCUCUGAUAAUAUUCUACAUUCAAACAAGCAGUCCAGUUAAUUCUGAGGAAGCUAGCCUAAGGCUGCACUAUCAGGGAUAAUGGUGCAAAAAAUAAAAAGAAACAAUAAACCCUUUUGACUCUUGUGCUUUGACGCUAGUGCUAGAUCAUUGUGUAAUUUAUUUAACUGAAAUAAACCUCCGAUUCCAUGUCUUUGAAGAUGAUAGUACUAGCUUCUCCCUGGGAUUGUUAAAAGGAUUAAGUUAAAUAUUAAUCUGUG